rnacentral:lncRNA from 1 species
AGAAGAUUUGCAAGCAAGACUCUGAUUCUUGUCAUAGAGCUCACAGACUUCCUCACUUACCGGCCUUUUUCCUUCCUUUUUUUUUUUUUUUUUUUUAAAUUUCUUCCCUCUUUUUCUGCUCUCUCCUCUCUCAGUUUCUCCUUUCCUGUCUGCCUCGUUUUUUUUUCUCCUGGUCUUCUUUUUUUUCCUGCUCUGCACCUGGAUUGUAUCUUCACCAAACAAUCGGGCACUUUGAGAACUAACUGGAGGCAGUCUUGUAGGGAAGAGCUGUAUGGAAUUAUCUGCUUUUAUGGUGAACUUGGCAUUUGUGAAUGGGUAUCUUGUUCACGAAAUUAAUUGCUAGCAAAAACAAGAAAAAGAACACAGGAGUAAAACGUGGAUUUUUCUGAAUACGCAUUGUGAUGACCAGCAAUUACCUUACCGACUGAUAUCCAGAGGAGAAUAAUUUGGAAGACUGUUGUGGAGAAGGCAGAACUCCACCAGCGGGAAAUACAGAGGUCUUCUAUGAGCAAGUUUCUCCUACAAGAUCACAUUGAAAGUUAGUGGAAAGAAAAGGCCAUAUGUCUUAGGCUCUAAGGGGAUUUCAAGAGCUGCUUCAGAGAACUUUAAAACUUUCAAUAAUGUUUUAAAUACCUGGGGAAUAAAAACAAAAACUAAGAGUAACAAUGUUGGAGGAGGAGGCAGUGGAAAGGAACAGAGAAUAGGCGCAAAAGGAAAAAUAAAGGUGACUGGAAAAAAAAAGACGAUUCCAAAGUGAAGUAAUACAGUACUGUUGCCUCCAACCUUUAUCUUGAAUAUUAAAAGAAUGAGGAUUGAAUAUUUGGGGGAAUCCCAGCAAAGCAAGAAGGGGUGAAGUUGCUGAGAAGGGCCAAUGCCAGUGGUAUGUGACUCCAGGACCUACUCAAAGAAGUUUGCAGGUCCAUUUGUAGAUCUUGAUCUACACAUCCUGAGACUCAAUAGUUAAUUUUACCCACUCAGAUAAAGGUUUUAUUUAUCUGAUUUUAACAGAUGCAAUAAAAGUUAUUUAAAUU